UACGUAGGGUGCAAGUGUUAAUCGGAAUUACUGGGCGUAAAGCGUGCGCAGGCGGUUUUGUAAGUUUGUCGUGAAAUCCCCGGGCUCACCUGGGAAUGGCGAUGAAGACUGCAAGGCUAGAAUCUGGCAGAGGGGGGUAGAAUUCCACGUGUAGCAGUGAAAUGCGUAGAGAGUGUGGAGGAACACCGAUGGCGAAGGCAGCCCCCUGGGUCAA
rnacentral:rRNA from 1 species